rnacentral:tRNA from 1 species
GGCCUAGUACCCGAGGGGUUCAGGGAGCUGUCUGCAAAACAGCUCACGUGGGUUCGAAUCCCACCUAGGCCU